CCUACGGGUGGCAGCAGUGAGGAAUAUUGGUCAAUGGGCGGGAGCCUGAACCAGCCAAGCCGCGUGAGGGAAGAAGGUACAACGUAUCGUAAACCUCUUUUGUCAGGGAAUAAAGGCGGGGACUAGUCCCCGGUUGCGGGUACCUGAAGCAAAAGCAUCGGCUAACUCCGUGCCAGCAGCCGCGGUAAUACGGAGGAUGCGAGCGUUAUCCGGAUUUAUUGGGUUUAAGGGGUGCGCAGGCGGCCUGUUAAGUCAGGGGUAAAAGCCCGGGGCUCAACCCGUGCGAGCCGUUGAAACGGGCGGGCUGGAGUUGGAGAGAAGUACGCGGAAGGCGCGGUGUAGCGGUGAAAUGAUUAGAUAUCGCGAAGACCCCGAUUGCGAAGGCAGCGUACCGGCUCCACACUGACGCUGAGGCACGAAAGCGUGGGUAUCGAACAGGAUUAGAUACCCGUGUAGUC
rnacentral:rRNA from 1 species